rnacentral:rRNA from 1 species
GGUCAAGUGAAUAAGCGCAUACGGUGGAUGCCUUGGCGAUAAGAGGCGAUGAAGGACGUGGCAGCCUGCGAAAAGCGUCGGGGAGCUGGCAACAAGCUUUGAUCCGGCGAUGUCCGAAUGGGGAAACCCGGCCCGCAAGGGUCAUCCCUUGACUGAAUCCAUAGGUCUUGGGAAGCGAACGUGGGGAACUGAAACAUCUAAGUACCCACAGGAACAGAAAUCAACCGAGAUUCCCUUAGUAGUGGCGAGCGAACGGGGAAAAGCCAGUGCUCUUUAGCAUUUGAUCUAGUGGAAUGGUCUGGAAAGGCCAGCGAUAGAGGGUGAUAGCCCCGUACACGAAAGACAAAUGUGGAACUAGGUGCACAACAAGUAGGGCGGGACACGUGAAAUCCUGUCUGAAGAUGGGGGGACCAUCCUCCAAGGCUAAAUACUACUUAUCGACCGAUAGUGAACCAGUACCGUGAGGGAAAGGCGAAAAGAACCCCGGCGAGGGGAGUGAAAUAGAACCUGAAACCGUAUGCGUACAAGCAGUGGGAGCCUCUUCGGAGGUGACUGCGUACCUUUUGUAUAAUGGGUCAGCGACUUACUUCUCAGUGGCGAGCUUAACCGAAUAGGGGAGGCGUAGCGAAAGCGAGUCUGAAUAGGGCGUUCAGUCGCUGGGAGUAGACCCGAAACCGGAGCGAUCUAUCCAUGGCCAGGGUGAAGGUGCGGUAACACGUGCUGGAGGCCCGAACCCACGCCUGUUGAAAAAGUCGGGGAUGAGCUGUGGAUAGGAGUGAAAGGCUAAUCAAGCCCGGAGAUAGCUGGUUCUCCUCGAAAGCUAUUUAGGUAGCGCCUCAUGUCUCACUCUCGGGGGUAGAGCACUGUUAUGGCUAGGGGGUCAUCCCGACUUACCAAACCAUUGCAAACUCCGAAUACCGAGAAGUGCAAUCAUGGGAGACACACGGUGGGUGCUAACGUCCAUCGUGGAGAGGGAAACAACCCAGACCGCCAGCUAAGGUCCCCAAAUCUAUGCUCAGUGGGAAACGAUGUGGGAAGGCAUAGACAGCCAGGAGGUUGGCUUAGAAGCAGCCACCCUUUAAAGAAAGCGUAAUAGCUCACUGGUCGAGUCGGCCUGCGCGGAAGAUUUAACGGGGCUAAGCAUAGUACCGAAGCUGCGGACACCGUAAGGUGUGGUAGAGGAGCGUUCUGUAAGCCUGUGAAGGUGGAUCGAGAGGUCUGCUGGAGGUAUCAGAAGUGCGAAUGCUGACAUGAGUAACGAUAAUGCGGGUGAAAAGCCCGCACGCCGAAAAUCCAAGGGUUCCUGCGCAACGUUCAUCGGCGCAGGGUUAGUCGGUCCCUAAGGCGAGGCCGAAAGGCGUAGUCGAUGGGAAAAAGGUUAAUAUUCCUUUACCUCUUUAUACUGCGAUGGGGGGACGGAGAAGGUUAGGCCAGCCUGGCGACGGUAGUCCAGGUUUAAGCAUGUAGGGAGAUCUUCCAGGCAAAUCCGGAAGAUCAAUCCUGAGGUGUGAUGACGAGUCUCCACGGAGACGAAGUGGUUGAUACCCUGCUUCCAGGAAAAGCCUCUAAGCUUCAGGUAUAAAGAGUCCGUACCCUAAACCGACACAGGUGGAUUGGUCGAGAAGACUAAGGCGUUUGAGAGAACUUGGGUGAAGGAACUAGGCAAAAUAGCACCGUAACUUCGGGAGAAGGUGCGCCCCCGGUACGUGUAAGGACUUGCUCCUGAAGCGGAAGGGGGUUGCAGUGACCAGGCCGCUGCGACUGUUUAUCAAAAACACAGCACUCUGCAAACUCGAAAGAGGACGUAUAGGGUGUGACGCCUGCCCGGUGCCGGAAGGUUAAUUGAUGGGGUUAGCGAAAGCGAAGCUCUUGAUCGAAGCCCCGGUAAACGGCGGCCGUAACUAUAACGGUCCUAAGGUAGCGAAAUUCCUUGUCGGGUAAGUUCCGACCUGCACGA